rnacentral:rRNA from 1 species
UGGGGAAUCGUUAGACAAUGGGGGAAACCCUGGAUCUAGCCAUGCCGCGUGAGCGAUGAAGGCCUUAGGGUUGUAAAGCUCUUUUCAGCUGGGAAGAUAAUGACGGUACCAGCAGAAGAAGCCCCGGCUAACUCCGUGCCAGCAGCCGCGGUAAUACGGAGGGGGCUAGCGUUGUUCGGAAUUACUGGGCGUAAAGCGCACGUAGGCGGAUUAGUCAGUCAGAGGUGAAAUCCCAGGGCUCAACCCUGGAACUGCCUUUGAUACUGCUAGUCUUGAGGUCGAGAGAGGUGAGUGGAAUUCCGAGUGUAGAGGUGAAAUUCGUAGAUAUUCGGAGGAACACCAGUGGCGAAGGCGGCUCACUGGCUCGAUACUGACGCUGAGGUGCGAAAGCGUGGGGG